rnacentral:rRNA from 1 species
GACGAACGCUGGCGGCGUGCUUAACACAUGCAAGUCGAACGCUGAAGCUUGGUGCUUGCACUGGGUGGAUGAGUGGCGAACGGGUGAGUAAUACGUGAGUAACCUGCCCUUGACUCUGGGAUACGCCUGGGAAACUGGGUCUAAUACUGGAUACGACAUGUCACCGCAUGGUGGUGUGUGGAAAGGGUUUUACUGGUUUUGUAUGGGCUCACGGCCUAUCAGCUUGUUGGUGGGGUAAUGGCUCACCAAGGCGACGACGGGUAGCCGGCCUGAGAGGGUGAGCGGCCACGCUGGGACUGAGACACGGCCCGGACUCCUACGGGAGGCAGCAGUGGGGAGUAUUGCACUAUGGGCUGAAGCCUAAUGCAGCGACGCCGCGUGGGGGAUGACGGCCUUCGGGUUGUAAACCUCUUUCAGCACAGAAGAAGCGAAAGUGACGGUACGUGCAGAAGAAGCGCCGGCUAACUACGUG